rnacentral:rRNA from 1 species
GACGAACGCUGGCGGCGUGCCUAACACAUGCAAGUUGAGCGACGAACCAGGGCUUGCCCUGGGGCAAAGCAGCGAACGGGUGAGUAACACGUGGGUAACCUACCCCGAUAACCGGGACAACCCGAGGAAACUCGGGCUAAUACCGGAUGUGCUCACUGGACUUCGGUUCAGUGCGUAAAGGAAGCUUCGGCCUCCGUAUCGGGAGGGGCCCGCGGCCCAUUAGUUUGUUGGUGAGGUAACGGCUCACCAAGACCGCGAUGGGUAGCUGGUCUGAGAGGACGAUCAGCCACACUGGGACUGAGACACGGCCCAGACUCCUACGGGAGGCAGCAGUGGGGAAUCUUGCGCAAUGCGCGAAAGCGUGACGCGGCAACGCCGCGUGGGGGAAGAAGGCCUUCGGGUUGUAAACCCCUUUCAGGAGGGACGAAGGUUCGGCGGUGAAUAGCCGUCCGGACUGACGGUACCUCCACAAGAAGCCCCGGCUAACUACGUG